UUAAUACCGGAUAGAUCAAAGAUACUGGAAUGUUCUUUGUUCGAAAGCUCCGGCGCCCAAGGAUGGGUCUGCGGCCUAUCAGGUAGUAGUGGGUGUAACGUACCUACUAGCCUACGACGGGUAAGGGUUGUGAGAGCAAGAGCCCUGAGAUGGAUUCUGAGACAUGAAUCCAGGCCCUACGGGGUGCAGCAGGCGCGAAAACUUUACACUGCGGGAAACCGCGAUAAGGGGACCCCGAGUGCCAGCACCUAGUGCUGGCUGUCCAGCUGUUCAAAAAACAGUUGUUAGCAAGGGCCGGGCAAGACCGGUGCCAGCCGCCGCGGUAACACCGGCGGCCCGAGUGGUAGCCGUUAUUAUUGGGUUUAAAGGGUCCGUAGCCGGCCUAUUAAGUCUCUUGGGAAAUCUGGCGACUCAAUCGUCAGGCGUUCA
rnacentral:rRNA from 1 species